CACAAGCACGGCGCAAUCAGGCACCGCUCUCGAUCCAGAGGGCGCUCGGUGUCCAGCGUGAGGACCCAGGAGCAGUCUACGUGGGCGUAUCCUGUCAAAGGGAAGACGAAGAAGGAGCAAGGGAGACCGACGGAGGACAUUCUACUUCAGCUUAAAGAAGAAGUCAUCGACUGCUCAGCACAUGCCACAAGAGUGCCAUCCUGGCACUUGACGUGAGGGGAGCCUUCGACAACGUCUCACACGAAGCAGUGCUAAACAGCCUACAACAUACCAACUGCGGACGGCGGACAUACAACUACGUGUGGGACUUCCUGACGGGUAGAACGGCGACCAUAGGCCUGCGGAACCUCAGGACCGAGAAGUUCCAAAUACCGCAGAAAGGAACCCCCCAGGGGUCGGUGAUCUCCCCGUUGCUGUUCAAUAUAGCGAUGAGGGAAUUGCCGAAUCUCUUGGAGAACAUAAGGGGUAUCCGUCACGCAAUGUAUGCAGACGACCUGGCCAUGGUAACGUGCACGGGAUCGGUGGGCGAACAACAAGACGCCCUGCAGGAAGCCAUCGACAGGACCGAGCAAUAUCUACACCGCUGAGGUCUUUCAUGCGCGCCGGAAAAAUUGGAGCUCCUGAUCCUCAAAAAGAGGACAAGACGGCGGCCUCCGCAGGAGACACCUGACCCAACGUUGACACUACAUGGAGUCAACAUACCCAAGGUGGACACGCUCUGUAUUCUGGGCUUCACUUUCCAGAAGGACGGUGCUGGUCUCGCCACCAUUAAAAAACUGCAAGCGACAGUUACCCAAGUCGCGCACUUGGUGCGAAGAGUGACAAACAAAAAGCACGGCCUGAAAGAGCAGGACACAAUCAGAUUAAUACCAGCCCUGAUAAUCAGCACAGUCACUUAUGGCACCCCGUACCUGGGUCUCGAGAACAUCCAGAGAGACUAAUGAACACCCUAAUACGAAAGACCUACAAGCUAGCACUGGGGCUUCCACCGACGACGUCGACGGAGAAGCUACUCAGACUGGGCAUCCACAAUACUUGGGAGGAAUUAGUAGAGGCGCACAAGACGAGCCAGAUAGAGCGAAUCAAGCUCACCAGCACGGGUAGGGACACGAUAAUAAGACUGGGCUACCCAGUCGAAUAUGAGUCCACAAAACAGCGGGUUCCUCUACCCAUGAGGGAGAAGAUCACGGUGGCCAGCUGCCGAGAAACAUGCACCCUGAAUACCACAGAGAAAGGAGGCGAGCGAGAGUGAAAGCUCUACGUGAGGCCUACGAAGGACCAAAACAAGGAGAAGUACGAUACACCGACGCGGCAAAGUACAAGAACAGAGCGGCCCACGCUAUUUAGCGUUAUCACCGGCCAAGGACAAGAGGUAGCAGCGGCCUCGGUAAGCACUCCAAACAUCCACUGCGCGGAAGAAACGAGGAUAGCCCUGGCGGCCACUACGGGCCAGCGAGAGGAAGAUCAAAUCAAUAGCAUCACCGACUCACAAACAGGAUGUAGAAAUUACUAAAAGGGCCGCAUUUCCAAACAAGCCCUGAGCAUCCUCGAACAACGAGAAAAGUUUCCAGAACUGUACAAUGUCUGGGCCCCGGGACACGAGUCCUUGGCGGGUAAUGUAGCGGCUAAUGCCGCUCCCCGAGAUUACAUUCUCCGGGCUUUCCCACCAGGUUCACGAGAACCGGUAGACCAACAAGAUAGCGACCCGAAAAGAUACGCCGAUAUCCUGAGCCACUACAGACUGGGUAGGAGGAUCUAUCCACCCCCGCAUCCCAAGCUGACAAGAGAAGAGGCGGUGAUCUUCCGAAAACUACAGACCGGCACAUUCCCGCACGGCACCCUGCUACACGCCAUGCAUCCUACGAGCUGUACUCACAAAUGCGCAUUCUGCUCUACGCCCAAUACCCUCUACCACAUGGUAUGGGAAUGUCAACAAAACCCAUCGACACCGCCCAUCACCAGACCAACCGUCGAGCAGUGGGAGGCCCAACUGACAAGCUCGAGCCCUGAAGACCAGCAUCGUUUGGUGAGCAGGGCCAAGCUAUCGGCUCAGGCCUACGGCAUCCUGGACUAGGGACGCCGCCCACCUCGGACUAUUUUAGCGUCGGCUCAUUUCUACUAAUAAAGUUUAUUCCUCCUUCUC